GUUCCUUCCCUCUAUGUCCAGCAAAAAUAGCGUGAGAAUGUCUUGAGAAGCAAGGUGAUCAGUGGAAGGCGCUGAGUAGUUGAGGCUGCCAGCUGAAGUCCUGUGGCUUUGAGGAGAGAACUUUUAAAUCCUGGAGGUUUUGUACAAAAUCACCACUAUUCCUGACAGGAAAUCCACUUCUUCAGAGCCAUGCUCUCCUUUGUUGUAGGGCACAGGGAGGUGUUCCGGGCAUGUCCCACCGGGAGGAGGC